rnacentral:rRNA from 1 species
UACGGAGGAGGCAAGCGUUAUCCGGAAUUAUUGGGCGUAAAGUGUCCGUAGGUGGUUGGCCAAGUCUGCUGUCAAAGGGUGGGGCUUAACCUCAUAAAGGCAGUGGAAACUGGCGAGCUAGAGUGCGGUAGGGGUAGGGGGAAUUCCAAGUGUAGCGGUGAAAUGCGUAGAGAUUGGGAAGAACAUCGGUGGCGAAAGCGCCCUGCUGGGCCUGCACUGACACUGAGGGAAGAAAGCUAGGGGAGCGAAAGGG